AGAUGAGGAGUCCUAAAUAGGACGAAACACGCGUCCU
rnacentral:hammerhead_ribozyme from 1 species